UGGGUAAUCUGCCCUCGAUUCUGGGAUAGCCCGGGGAAACCCGGAUUAAUACCGGAUAGCCUUUCGAGCUUACGAGCUCGUUAGAAAAGGUAGCUUCGGCCUCCGAUCGAGGAUGAGCCCACGGCGGAUUAGCUUGUUGGUGGGGUAAUGGCCUACCAAGGCAACGAUCCGUAGCUGGUCUGAGAGGACGAUCAGCCACACUGGGGCUGAGACACGGCCCAGACUCCUACGGGAGGCAG
rnacentral:rRNA from 1 species